rnacentral:lncRNA from 1 species
UUAAAAAAUGUUUAAAAAAAUUAAUUAGUAUUUUGUAAACAUAAAAUUAAUAAUAAAUUGGGCAAAUCUCCAAAAUAGCACAUUUCUAAGUUUAUAUCACAAAAUAGCACUUAAAAACUAAAAUGACCAAAAUAGCAUUUUAUCUUUUGAAAAAUUUAAAUUUUUUUAUUUUUCAAAAUUUGAAAUCUUAUCCCCAAAACCUCACUUCUCAACUCUAAACCCUAAACCCUAAACUCUAAACCCUAAAUCCCACCCCUUGAGUGCUAUUUUUGUGACUUUUGGCCUUGAGUGCUAGUUUGAGAACAAAAACUUGAUUUAGUGCUAUUUUGGUCUUUUUCUCUAAUAAAAUAAUAAUAAUAAUAAAAAAUUAGGUAAAUAUAUAUCAAUUUUCAAUGAAAUUUUAAAAG